rnacentral:rRNA from 1 species
UACGUAGGGACCAAGCGUUGUUCGGAUUUACUGGGCGUAAAGGGCGCGUAGGCGGCAUGACAAGUCACUUGUGAAAUCUCCGGGCUUAACUCGGAACGGCCAAGUGAUACUGUUGUGCUAGAGUGCGGAAGGGGCUACUGGAAUUCCCGGUGUAGCGGUGAAAUGUGUAGAGAUCGGGAGGAACACCGGUGGCGAAGGCGGGUCUCUGGGCAUCUCCUGACGCUGAGGCGCGAAAGCGUGGGGAGCAAACGGG